CGGGCAAAGGCGCUCGGCAAGGAACUCCCCCCGCCCCGACAGCUCCGGGCUUUCCUGCCCGACAGGCGGCCCGUCCGCGCUGGAAUUCGCCGGGACAGACGGCAGAGGGCAUGAGUGAAUGCCUUAACAUCGGGGCUUGCUUCUGACGGGAACCUGAAUCUCUCUGGAAUUCCAGCUGCAGACAAAUUGGAGAAGACCUUGCUUUGACUAGAUGAACCCUAUCGUGUAUAUUGGGUCUGCAGGAAGAAGAAAGGACGAUGUAUCACUGGGGGAUGGGAUUCAGCUCCAAAGAGUACAUCUAAAAUGAAGAAUGAGAUACCGUGUGUACCCCAGAUAAGGCAAUGGAAUGGAAACCAUCCGUAAGAGGAGCUACGGACAGAGGUCUGAAAAGGAAAAGUUCCCAGGGUGAAUGAGCAAGACCCACGAUGGGAAUGGACUCCUGUUGUUGGCAUUUGGGAAUGCUGCAACUGAUUUCAUUGCUAGGCCAGGGAGCGUGUGACGCUGUGUAAUGAGAAAGAGCAGCGGUCGUGGCAGCAGCAUCACUGGUUGUAAUGGAGUAUAAAUCAGGGCAGUUCACUCUGUCAUUCCAUUCAGGGCAUCAUAAAAGUAACACCUGUCAUCUGGAAAAAAUCUAAACUCAGAGAAUAAAAUAAUGCAUUUUGCAUGAAUGUAUAAAAUCCUGCAGUACCAGAAAAUAGAACACUUAGAAAUCGAGUCCUUAUACUAAGGGGCGACAUCUGCAAAUAUAUUCUACCAUCAAUACCAUGUGACUUGAUUUAUGUCUUAAACUAUUCUAUGGGGGGGAAAAAAAAGUAGCAGUAUAGAUUCUACUAUAGCUCUAAAAAAUAACUUUUUAGGCCAUGAUACUAAUCUCUUUGAUCCACACCAUUUAAUGCAUUGGAAAGCAAAAGAACUUCCCUUAUUUCUCCUUUGGCUGUAAAACGGACUGAAAACAGCCGUCAGGGAUUUGUAGAUUCAGUUACAUCCUCAGCAAGAGAACCUAAUGGGCAGUGUUUAAAGACUGAUUGAUAGACAUCAUCUUUUGAUGAUCAUAGCAGAACUUUUUAGGCUGCUGAUUGCAAGCACAGACAUUCAGGAAAGCAAAAUUUAUGCCUGCCAGGCUUUUUGCUGUGUUUUGUCUCCUCUUCUCUUUCCUCCACUCAAACCAGAUUUCAGCAGUCAGUCCUGGAAGUCAGUAACAAUGGCCAAAAAACCUGAGCCAAAGACUAUUAUCAGCCACACAAGUUUCAAAUAUUUUUCUCUGGUAAAUGGCCUAAAAGACAGAAAUUUAAAAUUAAAUAGAAGGCAAGUUUGUCCUAAAGCUCUAGAAAAUGGUGAAAAUUUUGCACAUUGGAAGCUUUAGAAACUAUAGGAACUUUGGAGGGUGGGUGCAGAAUUAUUUAUUCAUGAUGAGUCAUUUCUGUCAUUCUCUACUGUCACAAAAUUUCCAUGUGCUCUGGGUAUAUACAAUUAUAUUUCAGGUAAUGAAAUUUCUGUUGUCUUGUUAUGAGGGGCUGUGAAGCAUAGAUGUAUUUUUUAAUCCGGGAUCAGUGCUGUCGAUGUCUGAUGAGAUUGAAAUAUCAGCCAGACUUCCCUUUUUAUUCCUUGCCCUCUGAGACAGCAGCUUGGUGCUACCUGUGAAGCAAUUGUGGAACCACUCAGCUGCCUUAUCCAAGGUGUCAGUGUGCAGGAGCUCAGACCCUCUCAGCC